CUCCCCCAUUCCCGUGUUUUGUCCCUAAGCAUCCUUUCCCCACUUCCCUAGGGCACUUGCCUUUCCGGAAAUGCCCUCGCCCAGCGGGCAGCCUCCACAUCCCGAGGAGCUGUUUCAGCACCUACUCUGUGCCCAGCUCAGAGGAUGGAAAGGUGAGCAACCCCCAGCGUGGUCCGCAGCCAUGGUCUCACGGAGAAGCGAGACUCCUCAGUGGGCAGGUAUGACUCAGUGUGAAAAUGCUUCCAGGGGUGGGAGUGAAAUGCUGGGCUGGUGGGAGGAGCACCUGCUCUGGGGGCUCAGCGACCCCUUCGUGGAGGUUGAGUGGGAGUUCACCAGGCAAAGAACAGCGAGGAUUCCCAAGCAGAGGGAACAGCAGGUACAGCGGGCCAGAGCUGACAGAGAGGUUGGAGCAGAGUAUCAGUGGGGUGUGUCCCAGGUGAGUCUAGAGGGUUAGGCUUGGAGUGGCUGGGCAAGGCUGUCUCUAACUGCCGACACCUUUCCUCUUCAGCCUCUGCUCCCUUCGCCUCCUCUCCCCACGGUGUCUCUCUGCAGUAGGUACUUGAUUCUCAGACAGGCAUCUUCCUCUUCCCCCAUCCUCCACAGGCAGUGACAUUCUCAUCAGCAAACUUGUCCUUCCAGACCCUCCCUGGUGAAAAUAACCCUGACCCUUGACUUAGCUCUCUGGCCUCUUGAGCCAGGCAAAAGCCUGGAAAACUUGUCUUGGGCUCAAAAUAGGGGGGGAAGGGGGGAUUUUGGAGAAUUUUUAACAGAAUUCAGCUGAGUAAAAGCCAAAGUUCUUACAAAGGCCUGUGAGACCCUGCACAGACUGGGUGACCUGCCCCCGCAGCCUUGACCCCCAUCUUCCACUGUCUUCUCUUUGCCAGCUCUGUUUCGGCUACCCCCGUCUCCUUGCCGGUCCUCAAACACGGCCCCCACCCUGCAUCCCUGCCCCACGUCCUUUGCACUUGCUGUUUCUAUUACACCUCUCCCCUUCCUUAUUUGUACAUCUUCAUCAGAUUUUGUUCAGAUUCACCUCUCAGAGCGGUACAUCCUAAUACACUAUUUAAAAUUGCAACUCGUAUCAUGCUCUUCCCUCCUUUUUCUCCGCAGCACUCACCAUCUUCAAGAGCUUGUAUGAUUCACUUAUUUGUUUACUGUCUGUCUUUUCCCCUGAGAGCUGAGCUCCAGGAGGGCAAGGAUUUGGAUCUGCCUGGUUCACUCGGUGUCCUCAGCACUAGCAGUAGCGCCUGGCAUACAGUAGGUGUGCAAAUAAGUAAAUAUUUGUUGGUUGAACAAAUGAAUUCUGAGUAGUGACUAUGUGCCAGGGAGGCUUGGCCCCGGCUGCCGUGGAGGCUGGACUGCCGCAGGAACGGGGUCUGGGUUUCUCCAAGGGUGCCGGCCAGGCUGGUUCUGGCGGGCAGUGGGACAGGUCCCUGACAGCAGGUGAGUCCUGG
rnacentral:lncRNA from 1 species